CCCAGAUACCUCAAGAACAUGAUCACUUUCAAUAGCACAGCCAGAUUCUUAUGCUUCUCCAACUCUAGCCACUUCAUAGUCCUGCCAGGAAAAGUCCAAAAUCAGAAGUCUAAAGGUUCUUUGUCUGUGUAUCAAUAUGGUGGAAUUAACUUUUUUUCUCUCCCUCAAGAUCUAGGGAGUCACUCCACAAAAUCCAUCUCUUCCAGAUCCAUUUCUCUACUAAUUUUAUUUGCUCCAGAAAUGUGGACAUUUUUAAAAAAAUGUACUCCCCAAAUUCUUUACACAACUCUUUGUGUAAUGUAUGCUUGCAAAAAUGGUAUUGGACUAAAUGGCUAUGAGUUUUACCUCACUUUGUUUUUUUGGCUGUGGAGAAUAACUUUCUCUGUAGAUCUGUUUGAUCGUACCGUUUAAGAAACAGGAAGGUGCAGGGUUUUUGGUGGCUUAUCUGCCAUCCCUGCAGGGUGAUGCAGAGAUUUUGUUUCAAAUUGUUUUAUACCAGAUAGUCCAGAAUAGGCUUUUCCUUGAAGACGUCGGCAGCCCCUGGGGAGGGCGAGAGACCAUCACUGGCAGUGAGGAUGAUGGCUGGAAGGAUACAGGCUUUGAAGAAUACGAGCGCAUUUCUUUUGUUCGUGAGAUCGUCUUCAGACUCUGGGACUUCCAGCAGAGGACAUUGUCUGCAACCAGAGAACCAGGUCAUUGUCCUUUUUCGAUGUCACGCUGGCGACCGAUGAAUGUUAUCAGAGGGUGUUGGAGACUAUAGGACGUCGUGGCAGCUUUCCUGGGGGAUUUUGCCGACGUCUUCCCCGGACAUGAGGAAGACCGGGACCUUCUGGGGAUCUGGACUGGACGGAGACGCUUUUUAGUCCGCCUGCGAUCCGACCCUACGGACUGCAAAUGAGACACAUCCGGAUCCACGCAGGAGAGAGCCCCAUCAAGCGCAGCGAAUGUGGCAAGAGUGUCACAGUGAAGUCCACCUUGGACCACCACGUCAAGACUCAUUUAGGGCUGCAUGUCUAGCUUCUCUCUUAUUUUGUCUGAUAGGCCUGUGUCUGUCUCCUUCACUUCUUCCUCUUCACUGCAUGCUACAUGCAAAGAUGAAACUGUAGGUUCAUGAGCCCUAUGUUCUUAACUUGAGAAACACACUGUGCAUGCUGCUAGAUUAGUCAGAUCUGAGAUCAGAAUUGGAUUUGGUCCAUGCUCCUUCUAAAUUUUAAUUCUAUAGUACAUUAAGGAAGCCUGCUCCUAUUAUCGCACUGAAUUCCUUUAAGUGAAUGCCUUUAACAGUUUGUAACCAUUUUAUGAGGCGCUGCAGUUAUCCUAUUUUUUUCUUCAAAUGUGUUCACAGACUGAAAAAAAUCAUGAAAUGAAGCUGUCCUUAACUGCCACUCUAUUAGAUAGAUACAUAGAUAGAUAGAUAGGUUGGAAAUUCUUGUGCCAGAGAUUGCUCAAACAGA